rnacentral:rRNA from 1 species
UAAGGAAUAUUGGUCAAUGGACGCAAGUCUGAACCAGCCAUGCCGCGUGAAGGAUGAAGGUCCUCUGGAUUGUAAACUUCUUUUAUCUGGGACGAAAACGGGAUUUUUAUCUCAAUUGACGGUACCAGAGGAAUAAGCACCGGCUAACUCCGUGCCAGCAGCCGCGGUAAUACGGAGGGUGCGAGCGUUAUCCGGAUUUACUGGGUUUAAAGGGUGCGUAGGUGGGCUUAUAAGUCAGUGGUGAAAUCUCCGAGCUUAACUUGGAAACUGCCGUUGAUACUAUAGGUCCUGAGUUAUCUGGAGGUAAGCGGAUUAUGUCAUGUAGCGGUGAAAUGCUUAGAUAUGACAUAGAACACCAAUUGCGAAGGCAGCUUACUACAUAUAAAUUGACGCUGAGGCACGAAAGCGUGGGGAUCAAACA